GGCUGUGCUGUUUCCGGAGUCAAGUAUUGAGGUGGGUUCUGCUGUGACAGGGCUGUUGGAAAGUCGCCCCAAAUCCUGUUGAAGGAGGCUGAUUAGGCCUGGUCUGUGGCAGAAUGGUGCCCAAGCAGGGACCUCUGGACAGUCUGGGAUGUCUUUGGCAUCUUCAUCUGCAUACCUUCUUUUGCUGCAGGAACACUCUGCUUGGACAGAUGGCAUAUUUGGACACAUUCACAGGAUGACAUGUCAUGCAAUAUUAAAAUGAAAAGUGACUCUAUGUGCUGGUCUAAGAAGAUCUUGAAGAUAGAGAUGACAGACCACCUGGACAAUGCUUCAUGAUCGUUUUUGUUAAAGGACUGUCACCCUGAAUUGGGAGGCUCCUGGCACUUUGCCCUUCUGCUUGUUGACAUCCCCUGAAGGAGGAGUUCUCAGGACACAUCAGGUGAAUUCUAGCCAUAACAUCAGGCUCCAAAGAGUUUUCUAGCUAAUAAUGUCCACUAUUGAAGACGUUUCGUUCUUGUCUAUUUGCUGGAUGCCUGGGUUAGCAGAAGCUUGUCUAAGGAGUCACUGCCUGUGUUGAAGUGGGCUCUGCAGUGAAAUAGCUGUUGGGAAGUUACCCAAGCUCCUCUGCCUGGAGUCAUGGCCUCAGCCAUGGCCUUGUGGAUAUUUUCUAGCUCACAUAAACAAUCCUGAGAGAACAUUCGUGGUCGUAACAGCAAGAAAGUUUAUGGGAAAAGAGGACACUGUGACUGUUGGUUCCAGGAGCUGAAGAUUGCCACCUGACCUUCAGAGAGCCCCCAGUCUCUCCCACUCCCCACCCCCCAUCCCUUGGAGCCUCCUCUUGCUUAUGCUUAUAUUGCCACUCCUGAAUAAAGUUUUCAGAGCUUGA
rnacentral:lncRNA from 1 species